rnacentral:lncRNA from 1 species
UUGAGAUGCAUGGGACCAUUUCCUGCAUUAUUCUUUCUCACUCUGUUUUCCAGAGCAUUUGCAGAUUCAGUCUCUCCAAGGGAGCUGAACAUGCAGGAAGCACUGACCAAUGGUGCUGCUUUCAGAGCAUCAAGAUGUACCUCCACCCUAAAGCUUUGAGCCCUGCAAGUAGCUGAGCUUGUGGACGGAAGCCCUUCACCUGUGUAACUGUAAGAAGAAAGACUCUCCGAGUUGGAAGAGGCACGAAGAACCACGUAGCCCCACAGAUGAGGAGAUUCCUGUUGAGAAACCGUCACCCAGUCUCUGCUUAGGAACCACAUUAAUGAGUGUCCUGGAAGGGAAGAAAGGGCUCUCUGACCCGGACCAGCCUCGGGAGAGGCCCAGGGGGCCAGACGGGUCAAGUCAGAAUUCCCCGUGGCACGUGGGGAAGAGGAAAUGACAAGGAUCCUCCAAGCAUUACUUUUGUUGGGACACACUUCGGAAUUCGUGUCGUCGAUGGCAAAGCAGUUGACCUGAGGGUCUCCCUCCUUUGCUGUGGGUGCCCCGAACCCUCUGGAACAUUCCCCUCCGGAACUGCCUCCCAAAGCCCUGGCGGGGGACUCUUCUGUGUUCCUUUGUGGUGGCCUCCAUGGAAUGCAGCCUCCAUCUGGCAGUCACCCCCCCACCCCCGCCCCGCCGGCCGCGGGGUUCGCCUCUGGGAUGGUCCAGGCCUCCAGGGCCCUGAGCGGAG